CAGCAGCCGCGGGAAAACGGAGGGUGCAAGCGUUAUCCGGAUUUAUUGGGUUUAAAGGGUCCGUAGGCGGAUCUGUAAGUCAGUGGUGAAAUCUCACAGCUUAACUGUGAAACUGCCAUUGAUACUGCAGGUCUUGAGUAAAUUUGAAGUGGCUGGAAUAAGUAGUGUAGCGGUGAAAUGCAUAGAUAUUACUUAGAACACCAAUUGCGAAGGCAGGUCACUAAGAUUUAACUGACGCUGAUGGACGAAAGCGUGGGGAGCGAACAGGAUUAGAUACCCCAGUAGUCCCUGUCUCUUAUAA
rnacentral:rRNA from 1 species